AGUGAACGCUGGCGGUAGGCCUAACACAUGCAAGUCGAACGGCAGCACAGUAAGAGCUUGCUCUUACGGGUGGCGAGUGGCGGACGGGUGAGGAAUACAUCGGAAUCUACUUUUUCGUGGGGGAUAACGUAGGGAAACUUACGCUAAUACCGCAUACGACCUACGGGUGAAAGCAGGGGAUCUUCGGACCUUGCGCGAUUGAAUGAGCCGAUGUCGGAUUAGCUAGUUGGCGGGGUAAAGGCCCACCAAGGCGACGAUCCGUAGCUGGUCUGAGAGGAUGAUCAGCCACACUGGAACUGAGGAACGGUCCAGAAUCCUACGGGAGGCAGCAGUGGGGAAUAUUGGCCAAUGGGCGCAAGCCUGAUCCAGCCAUACCGCGUGGGUGAAGAAGGCCUUCGGGUUGUAAAGCCCUUUUGUUGGGAAAGAAAAGCAGCAGGUUAAUACCCCGCUGUUCUGACGGUACCCAAAGAAUAAGCACCGGCUAACUUCGUG
rnacentral:rRNA from 1 species